rnacentral:rRNA from 1 species
AUUGAACGCUGGCGGCAGGCCUAACACAUGCAAGUCGAGCGAGCGGCGGACGGGUGAGUAAUGUAUGGGGACUGCCCGUUAGAGGGGGAUAACUACUGGAAACGGUGGCCAAUACCGCAUACUAUCGGAUAACCCCUAUGGGAUUAGCUAGUAGGUGGGGUAAAGGCUCACCUGGGCGACGAUCUCUAGCUGGUCUGAGAGGAUGAUCAGCAACACGGGGACUGAGACAGGGCCCAGAGUCCUACGGAGGCAGCAGUGGGAAAUAUAGCACAAUGGGCGCAAGCCUGAUGAGUCCAUGCCGGGUGGAUGAAAAAGGCCUUAGGGUUGAAAAGUACUUUCAGCGGGAAGGCGUUACCCGAAGAGGAAGCACCGGCUAACUACGUGCCAGCAGCCGCGGUAAUAC